GAUGAACGCUGGCGGCGUGCCUAAUACAUGCAAGUCGAGCGAACGGACGUGAAGCUUGUUUCUCUUAUGUUAGCGGCGGACGGGUGAGUAACACGUGGAUAACCUACCUUUAAGACUGGGAUAACUUCGGGAAACCGGAGCUAAUACCGGAUAAUAUUUUGAACCGCAUGGUUCAAAAGUGAAAGACGCUCUUGCUGUCACUUAUAGAUGGAUCCGCGCUGCAUUAGCUAGUUGGUAAGGUAACGCCUUACCAAGGCAACGAUGCAUAGCCGACCUGAGAGGGUGAUCGGCCACACUGGAACUGGGCCACGGUCCAGACUCCUACGGGAGGCAGAAGUAGGGAAUCUUCGGCAAUGGGCGAAAGCCGAACGGAGCAACGCGGCGUGAGUGAGGAAGGUCUUCGGAUCGUAAAACUCUGUUAUUAGGGAAGAACAUAUGUGUAAGUAACUGUGCACAUAUUGACGGUAACUAAUCAGAAAGCCACGGCUAACUACGUG
rnacentral:rRNA from 1 species